rnacentral:rRNA from 1 species
AUUGCCCUAGUAACGGCGAGUGAAGCGGCAACAGCUCAAAUUUGAAAUCUGGCUCUUUCAGAGUCCGAGUUGUAAUUUGCAGAGGGCGCUUUGGCGUUGGCAGCGGUCCAAGUUCUUUGGAACAGGACGUCACAGAGGGUGAGAAUCCCGUACGUGGUCGCUAGCCUUCGCCGUGUAAAGCCCCUUCGACGAGUCGAGUUGUUUGGGAAUGCAGCUCUAAAUGGGAGGUAAAUUUCUUCUAAAGCUAAAUACUGGCCAGAGACCGAUAGCGCACAAGUAGAGUGAUCGAAAGAUGAAAAGCACUUUGGAAAGAGAGUCAAAUAGCACGUGAAAUUGUUGAAAGGGAAGCGCUUGCAGCCAGACUUGCCUGUAGUUGCUUAUCCGGACUUUUGUCCGGUGCACUCUUCUGCGGGCAGGCCAGCAUCAGUUUGGGCGGUUGGAUAAAGGUCUCUGUCAUGUACCUCCUUUCGGGGAGGCCUUAUAGGGGAGACGACAUACAACCAGCCUGGACUGAGGUCCGCGCAUCUGCUAGGAUGCUGGCGUAAUGGCUGUAAGCGGCCCGUCUUGAAACACGGACCAAGGAGUCUAACAUCUAUGCGAGUGUUUGGGUGUCAAGCCCAGACGCGUAAUGAAAGUGAACGGAGGUGGGAACCUUUUAGGUGCACCAUCGACCGAUCCUGAUGUCUUCGGAAGGAUUUGAGUAAGAGCAUGGCUGUUGGGACCCGAAAGAUGGUGAACUAUGCUUGAAUAGGGUGAAGCCAGAGGAAACUCUGGUGGAGGCUCGCAGCGGUUCUGACGUGCAAAUCGAUCGUCAAAUUUGGGCAUAGGGGCGAAAGACUAAUCGAACUAUCUAGUAGCUGGUUCCUGCCGAAGUUUCCCUCAGGAUAGCAGUAACGUAUUCAGUUUUAUGAGGUAAAGCGAAUGAUUAGAGGCCUGGGGGUUGAAACAACCUUCACCUAUUCUCAAACUUUAAAUAUGUAAGAAGUCCUUGUUACUUGAUUGAACGUGGACACUUGAAUGUACCGUUACUAGUGGGCCAUUUUUGGUAAGCAGAACUGGCGAUGCGGGAUGAACCGAACGCGGGGUUAAGGUGCCAGAAUAUACGCUCAUCAGACACCACAAAAGGUGUUAGUUCAUCUAGACAGCAGGACGGUGGCCAUGGAAGUCGGAAUCCGCUAAGGAGUGUGUAACAACUCACCUGCCGAAUGAACUAGCCCUGAAAAUGGAUGGCGCUCAAGCGUAUUACCCAUACCCCGCCGCCGGGGCAGAAUUUAUGCCCCGGCGAGUAGGCAGGCGUGGAGGCUCGUGACGAAGCCUUGGGG